rnacentral:misc_RNA from 1 species
CCUUUUCUAUUGUUUGCCUACAGACGCACACGCACGACAGCGAAGAGAAGAAAUCGACGCCACGUUAUCUUAUCAUUGCCGGGCAGUGUCCACCAACAGCAUCACCAGCGCCAGCACCCCCUUUCGCCUUCUCGCGAGUUCCCUGGGCGAGUCGCAUCAAGCGCCCGUUUUUGGUUUCCUCUCUUUGGCUGCCGCCUCUGUCGUUGUUGCAGCCGCAUUCCCCCCCCCCUCCCGCUGCCACAGGAAAAGCAUAUAAAAAAGAAAAACACUGCUGUGGACUGGAUUCGUGGGCGCGUUGUCGGACGUGCCCACCUCGCCUUCUUUUCGUGUCUCCCUCCAAACCGGAAUCCCCCAUCCUCCUGUUCCGAGGUCGCCGUCAUCAUUAUCAUGCCGCCAAAGCAGGACAACGUGCAGAAGCUUCUCGCUGCGGAGGAGAAGCGCAACAAGCUCAUCUCCGACGCCAAGGCGCGCAAGCAGCAGAAGGUAAAGCAGGCUAAGGCCGACGCCGAGCGCGAGGUUGCCUCAUUUCGCGCUGACAAGGACCGAGAGUACGACAGGUACCGCGCGCAGCAGAACGGCGGCGCUGAUGCCGAAAACGCGGAACUCGCUCGUGAGACGGACAGGGAGUUAGAGGAGCUCAAGAGGCUGACGGCGCAGCGCAUGGACGCCGUAGCGAACAUGAUGGUCAGGCUGAUAGUGACGGUGAAGGAAUAAAGCGUAGGGCGCUAAGGGAGACACGCCCCCACACACACACAUGCACAACCGUCCCUCGCCACGUCUCCGUAUUUGAGAUGAAGAGACGGUGCAGAAAACAAAGGGGCCGGUGGGCGAGCACGAUCGCCGGGCGUACUAAUGAAGGGUGUGGCAGGUGCCAUCGGCAGCUCUUAUAAGACACAGCGGACUUUACGCUGGUGCUUCACCUCUUCCCCUCCACAUUGUACGUUGGGUCUCAUGUGCUACGGGGCACAGCCACGUCGGGGAGCCAUGACAGGGACGACGGUGAUGACGACAUCGUUGUGGUCGCCUCUCUCUUUUUUCGUUUUGCGCGCGUGCGUGUACGCUUUAUGAUUGUAGCCGUCUUCAAAGAACGUGCGACGCGCUUGCUUGCCAGGACCCUUUCCUCCAUGAUGCAUUGCUGUUCUGACUGUGAGAAUGGUGCUGAUGCCGUGCUGCCGUUCUCCACAUCGCGUCUGCCAUCAUCUAUAUGCGUGUGUGCUCGUGUGUCUAGCGCGGGUGUCGACGCACGGACCCUCCCUCCGUGCUCUUCCGACUUGGAAAGUUGCACACACGCGUGCGCCUGCACUUGCGUGCGGGGCAUGCCGGCCUCGUGGUGCACGCGUGUGUGCAACGGCGCACACGAUAGGCAGCAGAGAGCGGAUGCGGAGGAUGGACCAAACAGCAGCACACAACAGACUCUGCAGUGCCGAGCAGAACCGCACACCGCAUGCACACGGUUUCCGCCGGUGUGGACAUGUGGGCAUGGAGAGAGAGAGAGACGAGCACGCACAGGUGGACAAGAUCGGAUGCUGAACGAGCGUAGGAGGAUUAGGCUUUACCGGAGAGACGGCUCCUCGCAUCUGUUUCUGGUUUACGCUGCCGCGCCAAUGCCUGCAGUCUGCUGCACAGGUAUGCGUGCACACUACCGUCGCCGGGUCACCUCCAGCGCCCCUUUCGUGCGUGAUGACGGUGCGUGCACGCGUGUCUUGUGUGUGCUUCUCUGUUUGUCUUUAUGGAUUCAUAAGUG